rnacentral:misc_RNA from 1 species
AACACCAUACACCUCAAAUGGGGAGUGUAAUGGGCGUCGUCCCAGGGCGUAGCCUCAAAGUCAUCGGUCUUAUACGUGGACGAGCUCCGUUUGGACGGGCCAUGUGUGGACUUUAAACCUCUG